rnacentral:siRNA from 1 species
GCCGGCGUUUGUAUUUCAAAUGGU